GUCGUUCUCUGAUAACGUGUACAAAAUAUACCCAUUCAAAAUCAAAGAAAAACGGGGAAAAAAAAUUCUUCCAUAAUUUACAGGUUAAGCAGUAUUGAAUAUUUAACAAGAACUGGGAUGUCAUAAAAACAAAUUAAUUGAGCAAAUAUUUCACAAAGCACACAACUUGGUGAUAGAAAAAGACCAUAGUUGCAGCAAUCUUUUCCUUUUUCUUCGUGAAAUUCAAAUAGAAAAUAAAGAGAGAAGUUAAAUAUAAUUUGACAGAAAGGUACCUCGCAGCGCAGCACCACAACCUCCACACUGGUAAAAAGAAUAAUCGGUGACUUCUGGAAGGAUAUUCAGACACUUUGGGCAACGAACUAAACGAACUUUUCCAGAUUCGUACAUUAUUUUUCAAAAGUUUCAGAAAGUAAUGGAAAAGCCCAGAAACAUUUGUUUUAUGUAUAUUUUCUGUAUGUAUGCACUUGUAUGCAAAAAAUUUCGUGCCGAAAAGGGGUUGAAGAAGUUUCAACUUUCAAAAGAAGAUUCUACGGAGCUGCUACACGAUCUGAGGAAAGAAGAAACAGGAAAAAAAACACACCCUCUCUCUCUAUAUCUAUCUCUCUAAUGUUCCUCAAACAUUUGCAGCUUUUUCCACGUUGAAAGUUGGACAAGUUCUCGACAUGUACUUUUGUUUCGGUCUUCAGUUCUUGAUUUCACAUUAAUGUGUGUUCGUUUGACAAGUAUUCAAAGGAGUACAAAUUGUUGUGGAAAAAACAAAGAGAGAAAUGUAAUCAAAUU
rnacentral:lncRNA from 1 species